CCUCAGCCUCCUUCAAAGUGGCCGCUGGGGCUGGGGUCUGUCUUUGCAGAGGUGCCAGGCCACAUGCCCCGCCCACCUCUGCCAGCUAUGCCGCCUCUGAAGUUCCUCUAGCAGCACUGAGGAGGGGCCCUGUGGUCGAGGGUGCAGCCAAACGAGGCCCGACUGGGUGAUUGAGCUCAGCUUGGCUGCACUUGUCUUCCUUGGACCUGCUGGGCACCCCCAGGCCUCUCUUUCCAGAGCCACAUAGGCCACCUGACAUCCCACAGGUUCUUCUACCUUCCAAGACCAGCUCAUCACCUCUGGCACCCCUCUCUAUAGUUGCCUCCCAAAGUCUCCCAUCUCAUACCCACAGCCCCCUUGGCAUCAAGCUGGACAUCUGGGAAUGACCUUCAGCACCAAGUCCCCCCACCGGUCACCUGGACUUGCAAAAGUCUCCUUACUGGUAUCCCUGUUAUCCAGGAGCCAUGGUGAAUUAUUUAAAAAUUCUUUUCUUCA